UCAAAGGUCAUUUUGUCCACCCCCCCUUCAGUGAGCAGGAACAGUAUCACCUGAUACCAGGCAGAAGAAACCUUCAGCCAAGGCUGUGUUACAGGGAACUGGCUGCCCACAGGCUGGAGGGGAAGGCAGAGAGAGGUGCCUGUAUCCUGUGAAGAACUUUUGGUCUUCUGUUGCCCUCUGGGUGGGUUUCAGAGCAGCCCAAGCCAUAAUUGCAGGCCAUGCCACAGAGGAGGGUCGAGCUCCACCAAAGCCGGAGCAGCGCCAGGCCCAGGCUCCAGGCUCUCUGUCAAUGAGCGGGGAGGCAGGGAGGAUGCUUUUGAU